UACGAAGGGGCUAGCGUUGCUCGGAAUCACUGGGCGUAAAGGGUGCGUAGGCGGGUCUUUAAGUCAGGGGUGAAAUCCUGGAGCUCAACUCCAGAACUGCCUUGAUACUGAGGAUCUUGAGUUCGGGAGAGGUGAGUGGAACUGCGAGUGUAGAGGUGAAAAUUCGUAGAUAUUCGCAAGAACACCAGUGGCGAAGGCGGCUCACUGCCCCGAGUACUGACGCUGAGGCACGGAAAAGCAUGGGGAGCAACAGGGGAUUAAAGAA
rnacentral:rRNA from 1 species